rnacentral:rRNA from 1 species
UACGUAGGGGGCAAGCGUUAUCCGGAUUUACUGGGUGUAAAGGGAGCGUAGGCGGCCAUGCAAGUCAGAAGUGAAAGCCCGGGGCUCAACCCCGGGACUGCUUUUGAAACUGUAAGGCUAGAUUGCCGGAGAGGUAAGCGGAAUUCCUAGUGUAGCGGUGAAAUGCGUAGAUAUUAGGAGGAACACCAGUGGCGAAGGCGGCUUACUGGACGGUCAAUGACGCUGAGGCUCGAAAGCGUGGGGAGCAAACAGG